CUUCAUUGGCUUUGAUCUAGUUAACAUUUUUGUGUAAAUAGAAUAAUGUCAAUAAGCUCUGGUUCUGAUUUGUCUGAUUAUGAAGACAUUACUGAUACAUUAUAUAAAGUAGAAGAAGACACUACAACUUUGAAAGUUUUAGACAACACCAAGCCCUGC
rnacentral:lncRNA from 1 species